AGGCUCAAGUCAUGGCAGUAAAUUUGUGUCUAUACUCUGUCACUUUACUUUUGGCCUCAAGUCAUUGCAGUAAAGUGGCAGAGUAUAGACACAAAUUUAGGCCUUCUUCCU
rnacentral:pre_miRNA from 2 species